rnacentral:rRNA from 1 species
AUAGGUCCAAGAAUAAGCCAUGCACGUCUAAGUACAAACUAAAUGAUGGUGAAACUGCAAAUGGCUCAUUACAACGGUUAUGAUGUACCCGGGAGUUCCGAUGGAUAUUUCCAGUAUCACUAGAACUAAUACAUGUCCCUGCGUUUAUUAGUUUCGCACAGUCCGUCGCUGAGUCAUGGUAAACAGUUGAUCGACUCGACGUCCCGGAACAGUUUCCGCCCCAUCAGCUUCGAUGGUUGGGUAUUGGCCUACCAUUGCAACAACGGGUAACGAGGAAUUAGGGUUUGAUUUCGGAGAGGGAGCCUGAGAAACGGCUACCACAUCUACGGAUGGCAGCAGGCGCGCAAAUUACCCAAUGCAGACACUGUGAGGUAGUGACGAGAAAUAAUAAAGCGGGACUUCUGUUUCGCUAUUAUAAUGAGGAAUAACCAAAGGUCAUUCCGAUUAGCAACUGAUGGGAAAGUCUGGUGCCAGCAGCCGCGGUAAUACCAGCGUCAGUA